rnacentral:rRNA from 1 species
UGCAAGUCGAGCGGUAGAGAGAAGCUUGCUUCUCUUGAGAGCGGCGGACGGGUGAGUAAAGCCUAGGAAUCUGCCUGGUAGUGGGGGAUAACGUUCGGAAACGGACGCUAAUACCGCAUACGUCCUACGGGAGAAAGCAGGGGACCUUCGGGCCUUGCGCUAUCAGAUGAGCCUAGGUCGGAUUAGCUAGUUGGUGAGGUAAUGGCUCACCAAGGCGACGAUCCGUAACUGGUCUGAGAGGAUGAUCAGUCACACUGGAACUGAGACACGGUCCAGACUCCUACGGGAGGCAGCAGUGGGGAAUAUUGGACAAUGGGCGAAAGCCUGAUCCAGCCAUGCCGCGUGUGUGAAGAAGGUCUUCGGAUUGUAAAGCACUUUAAGUUGGGAGGAAGGGCAGUUACCUAAUACGUGAUUGUUUUGACGUUACCGACAGAAUAAGCACCGGCUAACUCUGUGCCAGCAGCCGCGGUAAUACAGAGGGUGCAAGCGUUAAUCGGAAUUACUGGGCGUAAAGCGCGCGUAGGUGGUUUGUUAAGUUGGAUGUGAAAUCCCCGGGCUCAACCUGGGAACUGCAUUCAAAACUGACUGACUAGAGUGUGGUAGAGGGUGGUGGAAUUUCCUGUGUAGCGGUGAAAUGCGUAGAUAUAGGAAGGAACACCAGUGGCGAAGGCGACCACCUGGACCAACACUGACACUGAGGUGCGAAAGCGUGGGGAGCAAACAGGAUUAGAUACCCUGGUAGUCCACGCCGUAAACGAUGUCAACUAGCCGUUGGGAGCCUUGAGCUCUUAGUGGCGCAGCUAACGCAUUAAGUUGACCGCCUGGGGAGUACGGCCGCAAGGUUAAAACUCAAAUGAAUUGACGGGGGCCCGCA